rnacentral:lncRNA from 1 species
AAGUGAUUUUUAAAAUGGUUUUGGAAAUUGGCUUGGAAAGAAAGAAAUUUAAAGAAAAAAAACAAAAGAAGAAGCAAAUCCUUUUCCUCUCUCCGGUUUCAGCAGCAAUGCGCCCAGUCACCCUCUCCCCUUUCCCUCGGCCCGCACGCGUAACCGGCCCAUUCUUCCCCCCAGCCCAGCCAGCGCCACUCCCCUCUCUCCUUCUCUUGCUGACACAGAGGGCCCGC